rnacentral:snRNA from 1 species
UUGCUUCUGCAGCAAAUACACUAAAAUUCAAACGCUACAGAGAAGAUUAGCAUGGCCUCUGCAUAAGGAUGACAUGUAAAUUCGUGAAGCAUUUUUUUUUUUU